rnacentral:lncRNA from 1 species
GGCCGGCGGGAUGGAGGCAGCGAGACGAGCUCACGGUCGAGGAUCCGGGUGAAGCGGGACAGGAGCAAGAGCCAGAGCCGGACCAAAGCAGAAGGUGCAGGUCGGCGCGGGCCGGUUGGGCCGGGAGACCCGGUCAGGCCGGACGGUGAGAAGCGGUUGCAGACCGCAAGACCAUGGCCACGAUGGUGCUUCCUCGAGAGGAGAAGCUGAGUCAGGACGAGAUAGUACUGGGCACCAAGGCGGUUAUCCAGGGUUUAGAGACCCUUCGAGGGGAGCAUCGUGCCCUGCUA